GGCCCGUUGGUCUAGGGGCAUAAUUCUCGCUUUGGGUGCGAGAGGUCCCGGGUUCAAAUCCCGGACGGGCCC
rfam:Ciona savignyi cont_9884, whole genome shotgun sequence.